CAAAGUCAAUCGUCUACCUAACCCAAGUGUAGACGAGCGACUAGGCUAAAAGACUUGACUAUUAGUCGUAAUGCUGAUCAGAAAUUGCCCAUUCAAUUUGAUAUGAGUACAGGAAAAGUUAUUGGAGACAACCGUGCAAGAUUCACUAGCUUUGUGGCCUUACUUGGUAGAAGUAAGGUCUUUGGAAGCUCAUUCAAGGUUACGGGGUGUUCCAUCUAUUUCUAGGAAGAAGAUGCAAAUAAUCACACCUAAUUGUCGACGUCAAUUGGGCAGCUAUGAAUGUGGGUAUUAUGUAAUGAAACACAUGCAUACCAUUAUUUGUACAAACAUUAUUGAAUCAUGGAAUAAGAUCUUUAAUGAUUCAUCUCCCAUGGAAGCUAUAGACAUUGAAGACAUUAGAAGGAACUGGGCUUCUUUUAUUUUAAGUGUUAGUAGAAACUUGGCUACACUUAAAUAGUGUAUGUACAUUAAUGUAAU